rnacentral:rRNA from 1 species
UGGGGAAUAUUGGGCAAUGGGCGCAAGCCUGACCCAGCAACGCCGCGUGAAGGAAGAGGCCCUCGGGUUGUAAACUUCUUUUAUCAAGGACGAAGAAAGUGACGGUACUUGAUGAAUAAGCCACGGCUAACUACGUGCCAGCAGCCGCGGUAAUACGUAGGUGGCAAGCGUUAUCCGGAUUUACUGGGUGUAAAGGGCGUGUAGGCGGGACUGCAAGUCAGAUGUGAAAACCAUGGGCUCAACCCAUGGCCUGCAUUUGAAACUGUAGUUCUUGAGUGUUGGAGAGGCAGGCGGAAUUCCGUGUGUAGCGGUGAAAUGCGUAGAUAUACGGAGGAACACCAGUGGCGAAGGCGGCCUGCUGGACAAUAACUGACGCUGAGGCGCGAAAGCGUGGGGAGCAAACAGGAUUAGAUACC